rnacentral:rRNA from 1 species
UACGUAGGGGGCUAGCGUUGUCCGGAAUCAUUGGGCGUAAAGCGCGUGUAGGCGGUCCGGUAAGUCCGCUGUGAAAGUCGGGGGCUCAACCCUCGGAUGCCGGUGGAUACUGUCGGGCUUGAGUACGGAAGAGGCGAGUGGAAUUCCUGGUGUAGCGGUGAAAUGCGCAGAUAUCAGGAGGAACACCAAUGGCGAAGGCAGCUCUCUGGUACGUGACUGACGCUGAGACGCGAAAGCGUGGGUAGCAAACAGG